GAGUUGACAAAAUGUCAACUAUCAGCGUAUAAUUAUAUUUGUAAAUGUUGAUCACGAUGAAAUAAACAUUUCGGACGUCGGGGCAGUACCGACCACCUCCACCAAUUUAUUACUUGGUGGCCUAUGUAAUCCCUUCCGGGGGUGAACUAGAUUCGACGGGUGUGUAAAGAUCUUGGGAGUUUGCGGUGAUGGCACUGACCUAAACAGGCCGUUUUUAAAUGCAAACAAAAGAGCAUUAGGUUUUGCUGACCUAACAUUAUUGUUACCAAGCAAAACUGAAUUGAGAUUAGCGGCCUAGUCCACUAACACUCGGGGUUGGCAACUUACCUAGCAACAGAAAAGUUGCAUU
rnacentral:tmRNA from 1 species